rnacentral:rRNA from 1 species
GACGAACGCUGGCGGCGUGCUUAACACAUGCAAGUCGAACGAAGUGGCGAACGGGUGAGUAACGCGUAAUCAACCUGCCCUUCAGAGGGGGACAACAGUUGGAAACGACUGCUAAUACCGCAUACUGAAGGAGGGGAUUGCGUGGGAUUAGCUAGUUGGAGGGGUAACGGCCCCCCAAGGCGAUGAUCAGUAGCCGGUCUGAGAGGAUGAACGGCCACAUUGGGACUGGGGAACGGCCCAGACCCCGUCGGGGGGCAGCAAUGGGGAAUCUUCCGCAAUGGACGAAAGUCUGACGGAGCAACGCCGCGUGAGUGAUGACGGGCUUCGGGUUGUAAAGCUCUGUUAAUCGGGACGCGGUACCGGAAUAGAAAGCCACGACUAACUACGUGCCAGCAGCCGCGGUAAUUC